UUCAUAAAAGUCUCUGCAAAUAUAGUAAAUAACAAAUAUAUCUCUAUAAAGUUUAAUUUUUAUAUAUUUUUUCUAUAAAAAUUCUGAUAUUGUCAAAUAUGUAUGUCCCUACUAUUAGAAUUCGUUAGAAAAAAAUAAUUAAUUAUAGAUUAAAUACUUAAUAUUGAUUAGUUUUUUACAUUUUUAUUUCUUUUUUAUCAUACUGUUAUGUUUUUUGAAAAAAUAUAUUUGUGAUGAUAAAAUUGAAAAUAUAAAUAGUUUUUUAACGAUUCUCUAACGAUAACAAACCAUGAGAGCAUAUAUAACAACAACAUGACUUUUGUAUAGACAAUACAUAAAAAUUAAAUUUUAUAAAAAUAUAUUUGUUAUUUAUAAUAUUUGUAGGAAUCUGUAUGAAAUUAAUCC
rnacentral:lncRNA from 1 species